rnacentral:lncRNA from 1 species
GCAGAGCUGACUGCAAGGAGACAAAGGCUUGCUGGGGCUUUCAUAGGAUGGUACUGUGCUGGAGUGGGCUAUGUACACUACGAUCACGCCGAGGCUGCAGGGAGCGAGCUUGCAGGUGUCUGGUGGUAUAAGUCGGGCGCAGGAAGAUUAGGCACUGUAAAUUACCAGUGACUGGUCAAAUUUGUGACCAUUCUUUAUCUCCUUCCCUCCUGUCCCUGAAUUUGGCUCUCGUACCCAAGCCUGGCUUUCGUAUCACACUGGAUGUAUGGGGAAUGAGGCUCAGCACUGUCACUGCAUUUGUGUUAUUUCAUCUGAUCAGUGUUGUGAUGAACUAUAAACCACAAGGACUCAAGG